CUUAAUAAUAAAACAUAAUAUUAAGUUCAAGUUGUUAGGUAAUUUCAGUUCGGUAUUCAAAUCAAUUUGCUUCUCCUUUAUAUUUUAAGUUUUUUUCUUAAAUUAAACAGGGUGAUUUAGGAAACUUACAGCUUCGUUGGAAAGGAAAAUAAUUCAUGUUUUACUUUUAUGCACCAGUCAGUGGUUUGCCCGGGGGGGGGGGAUCGGGCAUAUCCACGGGAUUCGAUAGCUACCUGCUUCCCCUGUGUCAAGAAAUUGACAACGUACAUGUGUCCCGAGGGUGGGGAAAUUGAGAAUUUGAACCUCGCAUUUUUCAUCAUCAGGCCUGGGAACAAGUUAAAAAAAUGUGGUCAGCGGCAGUUUUGGCGGGAAACAGCAUCAUAUUUUUUCUUUUUUUCAUGACUUUUCUGGAAAUUUUUUCCACAUUGUUUUUUCACUUUUUGGUAAUAGAAAUCUGUUUUAAACAGGCGAGUUAAUUUAAAUAUAUUUCUUUAUUAUUAAAGAACAAAAAAAAUAAUAAAGAGCAUUUUCGUC